AAGGACAUAGAACUGACUCCUAUAAAGAAAUGUAGGAGGACAUUAGCAGAAGAUUCUAACUUUUAAUAUUCAAACAUCUAAAAGAUUAGUUUAGCAGAAACUAUUCACCCAGAAUAUGUCGUGGGGGAGAACGAAGAGUUUGUUUUUCAGCAAAGACGAGCUAUUCUAAUAAUUUCAUCUCACAAGGACACAAUGUGCCAUUGAGAUAGUAUAAAUACAGACUAAGGUCACCAGCCAUGCACAACAGGAAUAAGUGCAGAGAGGAAUCCAGAGACAGGGUCCAUCUCUGGGAAAUCCCACCUACAAUGCUCUACCAGGUCCUGCACCAGCCUCUCCACCGCUACUCCCUGAAAUCUGAUGUGAAGUUGUUUUUCUAUGAGCUGAACCCUGAUGUCCUGGAGCAAGCAAAAUACUCCCCGGCUGCAAUUUGUGGCUGGGAUUCUGCUUACAAAUAUUGAGAACGGCACAAAGCUUUUGGAUGCUGUGAGAUUUAUUUUUGCAGAAAAAGAAAUCAGAGCAGAUGCCAAAAUGCUCCUUCUUAAGGACAAACACUGAGUGGUGGAAGAUCAGAAAAGCUUCUGAAGGCGACAGUGAGGAUUGCCAGCAUAUGAGUCGACUCGGACUAGGAGUCGAAUCAGAGCUGCAGCUGCUGGCCUACCCCACAGCCACAGCCACAAUGGACCCAAGCCUCAUCUGCCAGCUACACUGCAGCUUGCAACAGUGCCAGAUCUUUAACCCAUUGAGUGAGGCCAGGGAUCCAACCUGCAUCCUCUUGGACACUAUGUCAGAUUCUUAACCCACUGACCCACAACGGGAACCCCUAUGCCAUUUUCCUCUUCCACUACAAAUACAUCGGUAAAUCUACAUGUCUCAACAUGCAUGAGGGUUGCGUUAAGUAGAUUCAUUCUAGAGUAAAUUCAUUCUUGCCACUACAAGGGGUCAAUUCCUGCACAAAGCUUGGUAUGAAACAGCCAACACAUUAUAACCGAGCAGGACCCUGGGAGGCCUUCCAGGGUGGACCCCACUCAGGUCCUCCUGCCUUUUUAUCCAUAGAAAAACUUUAGUCAAAGAAUCAAUUUAAUCAGAGAAGUGAGAAACCACAGAGAAAAAGGGAAAACGGUCAGGCAAGAUAGAAUCAUGAGAGUUUAGCCAUUCAUCAAAGUCAAGGACUUUAGUUAGUUCUUCUUCAAAGACUCUAAAUAAUAUUCUGAGCCAUGUCCUUGGAGCUGUUUGGCAGGUGCUGAAGCCCCCACCAAGUGAAGAAGUUGCUGUAUGCUCCCACAAGCAUGUUGGAACCAGAAGGUCGAUGAUGCUGACUCCCAGUGACCUCACCACUCACCAGUCAGCAAAAUAUCCAGGAGCUGAUCACACACGGCUCCUCAAACACUAGAGGACUCCUCACCACCCCCUGGGGGUGCGGGAGGGAGGGGGGUGCACAGUCCUUGAGGCACUAGCCUGCUGUGUUCCCUCUUUGCCUGGCAAUUAAAGCUACUUUCUCUUU
rnacentral:lncRNA from 1 species